AUUGAACGCUGGCGGCAGGCCUAACACAUGCAAGUCGAACGAGUGGCGGACGGGUGGGUAAUGUCUGGGCACCUGCCUGAUGGAGGGGGAUCACUCCUGGAAACGGUAGCUAAUACCGCAUACCCUCGGAUGUGCCCCGAUGGGAUUAGCUAGUAGGUGGGGUCAAGGCUCACCUAGGCGACGAUCCCUAGCUGGUCUGAGAGGAUGACCAGCAAAACUGGAACUGAGACAAGGUCCAGACUCCUACGGGAGGCAGCAGUGGGGAAUAUUGCACAAUGGGCGCAAGCCUGAUGCAGCCAUGCCGCGUGUAUGAAGAAGGCCUUCGGGUUGUAAAGUACUUUCAGCGGGGAGGCGUUACCCGCAGAAGAAGCACCGGCUAACUCCGUGCCAGCAGCCGCGGUAAUAC
rnacentral:rRNA from 1 species